rnacentral:rRNA from 1 species
AUACGAAGGGGGCAAGCGUUGUUCGGAAUAACUGGGCGUAAAGCGCACGUAGGCGGAAUGUUAAGUUAGAGGUGAAAUCCCAGGGCUCAACCCUGGAACGGCCUUUAAUACUGACAAUCUAGAGACCGAGAGAGGUGAGUGGAAUUCCGAGUGUAGAGGUGAAAUUCGUAGAUAUUCGGAGGAACACCAGUGGCGAAGGCGGCUCACUGGCUCGGUACUGACGCUGAGGUGCGAAAGCGUGGGGAGCAAACAGGAUUAGAAACCCUAGUAGUCC